UACGUAGGGGGCAAGCGUUGUCCGGAAUUAUUGGGCGUAAAGAGCGCGUAGGCGGCCAGAUAAGUCCGGUGUGAAAGUCAAAGGCUCAACCUUUGAAUGCCGCUGGAAACUGUCUGGCUAGAGUCCGGGAUGGGCGAGUGGAAUUCCCGGUGUAGCGGUGAAAUGCGCAGAUAUCGGGAGGAACACCAAUGGCGAAGGCAGCUCGCUGGGACGGUACUGACGCUGAGGCGCGAAAGCGUGGGGAGCAAACAGG
rnacentral:rRNA from 1 species